UACGUAGGUGGCAAGCGUUGUCCGGAAUUAUUGGGCGUAAAGCGCGCGCAGGCGGAUCAGUCAGUCUGUCUUAAAAGUUCGGGGCUUAACCUCGUGAUGGGAUGGAAACUGCUGAUCUAGAGUAUCGGAGAGGAAAGUGGAAUUCCUAGUGUAGCGGUGAAAUGCGUAGAUAUUAGGAAGAACACCAGUGGCGAAGGCGACUUUCUGGACGAAAACUGACGCUGAGGCGCGAAAGCCAGGGGAGCGAACGGG
rnacentral:rRNA from 1 species